UCCUGGUUAACCCAGGCAGUCUCAUUAGAGUUCCCACCUUAAAUGCUGGCAACUAAUGAUAAGGGUUGCGCUCGUUGCGGGACUUAACCCAACACCUCACGGCACGAGCUGACGACAGCCAUGCAGCACCUGUGCAAAUGUCCCGAAGGAACUUCCUAUCUCUAGAAAUGUCAUUUGCAUGUCAAGCCUGGGUAAGGUUUUUCGCGUUGCAUCGAAUUAAACCACAUGCUCCACUGCUUGUGCGGGUCCCCGUCAAUUCUUUUGAGUUUCACCCUUGCGAGUGUACUCCCCAGGCGGUAUACUUAUCGCGUUAGCUACGGCACAACUAGGGUUGAGUCCAGUUACACCAAGUAUACAUCGUUUACAGCAAGGACUAC
rnacentral:misc_RNA from 1 species